rnacentral:rRNA from 1 species
AUUGAACGCUGGCGGCAGGCCUAACACAUGCAAGUCGAACGGUAACAGGAAACAGCUUGCUGUUUCGCUGACGAGUGGCGGCCGGGUGAGUAAUGUCUGGGAAACUGCCUGGUGGAGGGGGGUAACUACUGGAAACGGUAGCUAAUUCCGCAUGACGUCGCAAGACCAAAGAGUGGGACCUUCUGGCCUCUUGCCAUCGGAGGUUCCCAGAUGGGAUCAGCUAGUAGCUGGGGUAACGGCUCACCUAGGCGACGAUCCCUAGCUGGUCUGAGAGGAUGACCAGCCACACUGGAACUGAGACACGGUCCAGACUCGUACGGGAGGCAGCAGUGGGGAAUAUUGCACAAUGGGCGCAAGCCUGAUGCAGCCAUGCCGCGUGUAUGAAGAAGGCCUUCGGGUUGUAAAGUACUUUCAGCGGGGAGGAAGGGAGUAAAGUUAAUACCUUUGCUCAUUGACGUUACCCGCAGAAGAAGCACCGGCUAACUCCGUGCCAGCCGCCGCAGUAA